AUUGAACGCUGGCGGCAGGCUUAACACAUGCAAGUCGAGCGGUAGCACAGGGGAGCUUGCUCCCUGGGUGACGAGCGGCGGACGGGUGAGUAAUGUCUGGGAAACUGCCUGAUGGAGGGGGAUAACUACUGGAAACGGUAGCUAAUACCGCAUAACGUCGCAAGACCAAAGAGGGGGACCUUCGGGCCUCUUGCCAUCAGAUGUGCCCAGAUGGGAUUAGCUAGUAGGUGGGGUAAUGGCUCACCUAGGCGACGAUCCCUAGCUGGUCUGAGAGGAUGACCAGCCACACUGGAACUGAGACACGGUCCAGACUCCUACGGGAGGCAGCAGUGGGGAAUAUUGCACAAUGGGCGCAAGCCUGAUGCAGCCAUGCCGCGUGUGUGAAGAAGGCCUUCGGGUUGUAAAGCACUUUCGGCGAGGAGGAAGGUGGUGAGCUUAAUACGUUCAUCAAUUGACGUUACUCGCAGAAGAAGCACCGGCUAACUCCGUG
rnacentral:rRNA from 1 species